rnacentral:rRNA from 1 species
CCUACGGGAGGCAGCAGUGGGGAAUUUUGGACAAUGGGCGCAAGCCUGAUCCAGCAAUGCCGCGUGAGUGAAGAAGGCCUUCGGGUUGUAAAGCUCUUUUGUCAGGGAAGAAACGGUGUGGGCUAAUAUCCCGCACUAAUGACGGUACCUGAAGAAUAAGCACCGGCUAACUACGUGCCAGCAGCCGCGGUAAUACGUAGGGUGCAAGCGUUAAUCGGAAUUACUGGGCGUAAAGCGUGCGCAGGCGGUUUUGUAAGUUUGUCGUGAAACUCCCCGGGCUCAACCUGGGAAUGGCGAUGAAGACUGCAAGGCUAGAAUCUGGCAGAGGGGGGUAGAAUUCCACGUGUAGCAGUGAAAUGCGUAGAGAUGUGGAGGAACACCGAUGGCGAAGGCAGCCCCCUGGGUCAAGAUUGACGCUCAUGCACGAAAGCGUGGGGAGCAAACAGGAUUAGACUACCCUGGUAGUCCACGCCCUAAACGAUGUCUACUAGUUGUCGGGUUUUAAUUAACUUGGUAACGCAGCUAACGCGUGAAGUAGACCGCUGGGGAGUCGGUCGCAAGAUUAAAACCANAAUGAGUAGAGCGNGAGAGNGACGACGACGACGACGAGGAGGAGG